UACAUACAUUGUGCUUGAGUAUGUAUAA
rnacentral:piRNA from 1 species